CAUAAACUGCAGCAUGCCAGGCUUCUCUGUCCUUCACUAUCUCCUGGAAUUUGCUCAAACACAUGUCCAUUGAGUCAGUGGUGACAACCAAUCAACUCAUUCUCUGUUAGCCCCUUUUCCUCCUGCCCUUAAUUGUUCCCAGCAUCAGGGUCCUUUCCAGUGAGUUGGCUCUGCAUCAGUAGUCACGUGUGUGCCAGAGUUGGACCAUAAAGAAAGGUGAGAAAAUGGAGGAACUGUGAACUAAAAUUGUGUGUUCAAGGAAUCAGUAUGAGAAGGCUGUAUAUUGUCUCCCUGUUUAUCUAACUUAUAUGCAGAGUGCAUCAUGUGAAAUGCCAGGUUGGAUGAAGUUCAAACUAGAAUCAAUAGAGCCUGGAGAAAUGUACACAACCCCAGAUAUUCAGUUGAUACCAUUCAAAACUCAGCAUCUAUAAAACUAAGAUCAUGGCAUCUGGUCCCCUCAUUUUAUGGCAAAUAAAAAAUGAAAGCAAUGACAGGUUGUAUUUUCUUGGACUCUAAAAUCACUGAGGAUUGUGAAUCCAGUUAUAAAAUUAAAAGACACUUGCUAUUUGGAAGGAAAGCUG
ensembl:lncRNA